rnacentral:rRNA from 1 species
UACGUAGGGUGCGAGCGUUAAUCGGAAUUACUGGGCGUAAAGCGUGCGCAGGCGGCUUUGCAAGACAGAUGUGAAAUCACCGGGCUCAACCUGGGAACUGCAUUUGUGAUUGCAAGGCUAGAGUACGGCAGAGGGGGAUGGAAUUCCGCGUGUAGCAGUGAAAUGCGUAGAUAUGCGGAGGAACACCAAUGGCGAAGGCAAUCCCCUGGGCCUGUACUGACGCUCAUGCACGAAAGCGUGGGGAGCAAACAGG